rnacentral:rRNA from 1 species
UACGGAGGGUGCGAGCGUUGUCCGGAAUCACUGGGCGUAAAGGGCGCGUAGGCGGCCUGAUAAGUAGGGGGUGAAAUCCUGCGGCUUAACCGCAGGGCUGCCUUCUAAACUGUCAGGCUAGAGCACGGUAGAGGCAGAUGGAAUUCCCGGUGUAGCGGUGGAAUGCGUAGGGAUCGGGAAGAACAUCAGUGGCGAAGGCGGUCUGCUGGGCCGUUGCUGACGCUGAGGCGCGACAGCGUGGGGAGCAACAGG